AUGGCCAUCAUCAACUCCCCCACCAAGCCGCUCCUGUGGACCCUCCCGGCCUUCCUCGUCCUGGGUCUCAGGGACGGCGGCGAGCGCGCCACCGCCCGGGAGUGGCUCUUCCUCGGCUCCUCGCUGGCGACGGUGCUCCUGCUCUGCGUCGUCAAGGCAGUGGUCGCCGCCAGCGGAGGAGGGAAGAUCAUGCACAUGAUCCGCUGGAAGAGGCUGCUGCUACGCGGGCUGCUGCUGCUAGCCGUCGGCUUCAUGGCCUUCUCCUGCUUCCUCGCCCUCGAGGCCGUCGCCGGCAAGCUGCUAGGCGAGGAGGGGUCAUCCGUUUCCUCCUUUAGCUUGGUCCGAGCUGGGUGCGCCGUCGUCGCUGCUGCCACGCACUUCCAGUUCGGACGGGCCCUCGUCGCCGGGGUGUAG
rnacentral:rRNA from 1 species